rnacentral:lncRNA from 1 species
UGGAAGUGAGCAAUGGCAUUAAAAAAUCUUCUUAAAUAACUUUUCUUCAAGAUCAAUCUCCUACAAAGACUAAAUCUGAAAGGAAGGAAAGUCAGCCAGGGCAUGUGGUAGUAUUAAGACUGGUCUAUUUGGCUCACAGCAACGUAGGAAUGAUCCUGUGUGUUGUAGUGAUGGUCCACCUGAACCUGCAGAUAGGAUGUCUGCUUGCAAACGCUGCCAGAGUGACUGCCGAACUGGACUGUUACUCUUAUCCAAAGUACCUUGCUAACACUGGACUUUAUGCCGCAAGAGAAGACCUUCUCACAGCUGCAUCUCAGCUGCUGUCAUUCCUCAGUAUAUGCUCACUUCUGUGUGCUCAUAGCAGCGUGAAGCAGUAAUGGCUCCUCAUGACUGUGCCCCAAGUGACUGUAUCCAGAGAGACUGUGGAACAUCUUCUUGCUUGUACAGAUAUAUGCAAAAGGUGGAAAGGAAGAAAUCGCGGUAGGUUUGGAUAGUGUGAUAUACGUUCCUAGAGGCAGUAUACAGCAGAAUGGGUAG